rnacentral:rRNA from 1 species
UGGUGGAGCGAUUUGUCUGGUUAAUUCCGAUAACGAACGAGACUCUAGCCUGCUAAUAGUCGGUUCGUACGUCUACGUCGCGAACUCACUUCAAGACUUCUUAGAGGGACAAGCGGCAACUAGUCGCACGAGAUUGAGCAAUAACA